ACGACAAACGACGCCGCCUCCAUCUAUCUACCCUAAAUCUGAACUAGAAAAACAACGUCUUGUCCUUCUCUCUAAACCCCAAUUGGAAACGAUCACUCGCACAUUCUUAAAUCCUUAAAAGUAGAGCACCUAUUCUUUCUACUAAUCCAUUCUCUUCAACACAAAUUAUAUACUUGUAAUCUACUCCUAAUUUUUUCUUCAAAUCGAUUGUGUAUCCUCUUUGAACAAAAUCUACAGAUGGCUUCGAUGAAUGGAGUUGAAAUGAGCCAAGCAACAGAAAUAACUGUGAGCUCGAGGGCGAGAGUGGAUUGCAGGCAUAAUCUCAGGGCUAGAUUGUAUACAUCAUAGAGUUCUCGUAAUCCAGGGAGGCAUUUCUUUUGUUGUUCAUAUUGGAUGGAUAGAGAUAACGAUUAUGGGUUUUUUGAGUGGUUUGACCUUGAGAGUCUCCCACGUGAUGAGGAAGUACUAAGAUUUUUGAUAAGUUAAAAGUAGUCCUUGGAGCAGCAAAUCAAGUUGAUGAAGGAGAAGGACGAACUAAGUGUAGAAAAGAUAGCACAGUUGGAGCAAAAAUGUAAAAACAGAAAAGAUGAUUUGGUAGACUUUAAAGCACAGAACUAAGCUUUGCAAAGUGAGAUUAGUUCAAUGAAGAUGGAAAUGGCUAAGCUGGAUUACAAGGAGAAGCUAGGUUUAACGUGUAUUGUUUGUUUGCUGGCAAUGUUACUUGUAAUGUUUAAUUAGCUUGCAUCUGCUUUUAGGUUGGGAUGUGAACAAUGAAAAUUGACUUAAUGAAAUCAUAAAUUUGUCUAGUUCA